rnacentral:rRNA from 1 species
CCCUUAGAUGUUCUGGGCUGCACACGCGCUACACUGAUGCACUCAACGAGUUUACGACCUUGCCCGAUAGGGUUGGGUAAUCUUUUUAAAAUGCAUCGUGAUGGGGAUAGAUUAUUGCAAUUAUUAAUCUUCAACGAGGAAUUCCUAGUAAGCGCGAGUCAUCAGCUCGUGCUGAUUACGUCCCUGCCCUUUGUACACACCGCCCGUCGCUCCUACCGAUUGAGUGCUCAGGUGAAUAAUUCGGACUGCAGCAAUGUUUGGAUCCCGAACGUUGCAGCGGAAAGUUUAGUGAACCUUAUCACUUAGAGGAAGGAGAAGUCGUAACA